rnacentral:tRNA from 1 species
GGGCCCAUAGCUCAGACGGUAGAGCACUGUGCUGAUAACGCAGGGGUCAGUGGUUCGAGUCCACUUGGGCCCA